AGCCGCAGCAGAAGGGCGGGUCCCCCUCGGCUCCUGUGCAGCGGCUCUGGGGGCGGAGACCAGGGACGCUGGCGCGGCGAGCUCAGGUCUCCACCUCCAGGUUAUUUCUUCUAUUUAUUUAAUGAGACUACCAGGCUGAUGAAACUCAAUGCAGUCAAGACUGACAGGAGAGAGGACUGAGGCCUGACCUCCAGGGCCAGUUCUGAGUGGUUUUGGGAAAGAUUUGGUGGUUU